rnacentral:lncRNA from 1 species
GAGGCGAGCCGGGGACUCGGGGCUCGAAGAGGUAGCCAAAAGGAGGCAGGCCGGGUGCUCGAGGCUUGGAGAGGCUGCCGACGACUCCGAGAAGCCGAAUCCGAUGGUGGGGGAAAGAGGGGGACUGGAAGCAAUUGAGGGGAGGCAGGCCAGGGGCUUAGGGAGCCAGCUCGGGCUCGGGCAGGCAGGAGGCAGUCGAGGGGUUUGGGAUCCGAUAGAUGAGGGCUCGGAUAGGUGACCG